GAGUUUGAUCCUGGCUCAGGACGAACGCUGGCGGCGUGCCUAAUACAUGCAAGUAGAACGCUGAAGGAGGAGCUUGCUCUUCUGGAUGAGUUGCGAACGGGUGAGUAACGCGUAGGUAACCUGCCUGGUAGCGGGGGAUAACUAUUGGAAACGAUAGCUAAUACCGCAUAACAGUAGAUGUUGCAUGACAUUUGCUUAAAAGGUGCAAUUGCAUCACUACCAGAUGGACCUGCGUUGUAUUAGCUAGUUGGUGGGGUAACGGCUCACCAAGGCGACGAUACAUAGCCGACCUGAGAGGGUGAUCGGCCACACUGGGACUGAGACACGGCCCAGACUCCUACGGGAGGCAGCAGUAGGGAAUCUUCGGCAAUGGACGGAAGUCUGACCGAGCAACGCCGCGUGAGUGAAGAAGGUUUUCGGAUCGUAAAGCUCUGUUGUAAGAGAAGAACGAGUGUGAGAGUGGAAAGUUCACACUGUGACGGUAUCUUACCAGAAAGGGACGGCUAACUACGCGCCAGCAGCCGCGGUAAUACGUAGGUCCCGAGCGUUGUCCGGAUUUAUUGGGCGUAAAGCGAGCGCAGGCGGUUAGAUAAGUCUGAAGUUAAAGGCUGUGGCUUAACCAUAGUACGCUUUGGAAACUGUUUAACUUGAGUGCAAGAGGGGAGAGUGGAAUUCCAUGUGUAGCGGUGAAAUGCGUAGAUAUAUGGAGGAACACCGGUGGCGAAAGCGGCUCUCUGGCUUGUAACUGACGCUGAGCUCGAAAGCGUGGGGAGCAACAGGAUAGAUACYCCUGGUAGUCACGCCGUAAACGAUGAGUGCUAGGUGUUAGACCCUUCCGGGGUUAGKGCCGWARCUAACGMWUAAGCACUCCGKCYUGGGGAGUACGACCGC
rnacentral:rRNA from 1 species